CGCUUCUGCCCGCAGCAACCCGUUCCCACGAGCGCUGCCGUGGGGGUUGCACGCGCGUCCCGGCUGCCGCCACCCAGCUGGAGUUUCAGGAUGCUCUACACCCAGGACUUUUUGAAGCUGCCUUUUCAACAGUGACAGUCAUGAAAAUGUGACCAUCACUGCAUUAGCAGAAAACCGAAAACACUGAUGAACAAUCCUGAAAAAAAAUCCCCAUUAUGGUGGAGCUUACCUUCUAGUGAAAAGGAUUGCAGGGUUCUUGUCUCACGGAGUCGAAGAAUGAAU